UACGUAGGGACCAAGCGUUGUUCGGAUUUACUGGGCGUAAAGGGCGCGUAGGCGGCGUGUCAAGUCAAUUGUGAAAUCUCCGGGCUUAACUCGGAACGGUCAAUUGAUACUGAUGUGCUAGAGUGCAGAAGGGGCAAUCGGAAUUCUUGGUGUAGCGGUGAAAUGCGUAGAUAUCAAGAGGAACACCUGAGGUGAAGACGGGUUGCUGGGCUGACACUGACGCUGAGGCGCGAAAGCUAGGUAGCAAACGGG
rnacentral:rRNA from 1 species